UGCAGAAUAGCUGAUCCCAAA
ensembl:piRNA 21ur-3704 ncRNA